UAAGUAAAUCGCCUUAUCGCUGUUACGUUUUGGCGUAAUGGAGGAAAGUCCGAACACCGUAGUGCAGUCAUAGUGGUUAACGACCACCAGCCGUGAGGUUAGGAAAAGUGCAACAGAAAGCAAGUACAGGUUAAGCUGUAGUGAAAUCAGGUAAACUCUAUGAGGUGCAAUGUCAUGUAUACCAACGUUUGAGUGCGGCACGCGCGAUUGUUGGAGGGUAGGCAGCUAGAGUGUAUUGGUAACAAUGCAUCCAGAUAAAUGAUAAGGAUUUUCUUUUUUUAAUUGUUCUAAUUUUUUAGAAUUCUUUUCAAAAAAGAAAAGUACAGAAUUCGGCUUAUAGAUUUGCUUAAGCA
rnacentral:RNase_P_RNA from 1 species